AUGCUCGCUUUGGCAGCACAUACACUAAAAUUGGAAUGAUACAGAGAAGAUUAGCAUGGCCCCUGUGCAAAGAUGACACACAAAUUUGUGAAGCAUUCCAUAUUUUU
rnacentral:snRNA from 1 species